rfam:Fusarium langsethiae strain Fl201059 Fl201059_contig23, whole genome shotgun sequence.
ACAUACGACCAUACCUACCAGAAAAUACGGGAUCCCGUCCGCUCUCCCAUAGUCAAGCUGGUAAGGGGCGGAUUAGUAGUUGGGUCGGUGACGACCAGCGAAUCCCUGCUGUUGUAUGUU